CAGUCAUAUCACGCGUUGGAGAAAUUUCCCUCAACUAGUAUCCAUUUGAAACAACAACAAUGCAGAUGCAUUAUUCAAUCGAAAAACGAGUCGAAGUAGUUGUCUUGUUGGAGUGAAAACUUAGCGUUGGUGUGAAAACUUAGCGUUUAAAUCGAGCAUGUAGGCCUAGGUCGCAUGUCAUUUUGAGCUGACCUGUUCUUUUGUGUAGCCUCAUUAUUGUCUCAUUAUUGUCUUCAUGCUACAUUUUAUUCUGUCAGGUGUCUACCUUAGCCCUUUGUGGAGGAACCGACGUAGGGGUCACAGUGAGGCGGAUGCUGCGUAGCCUCCUGGUCAACAGCUUGGCCAGCCAAUUUAACUGGGCUGGAAAGGGGGGAAAAAACUGCGUUUAAGGACACCAAGAUCCCUGAUGUCCUGUUUGAUGCUCUACAAAAGCAGCUGCCAGGGAGCACACACGCUACUUUUAGUGACGCAAUCAAGAAGUGGCUUAAGUAUGCGCCAGAGAGAGAGGGAGGGAUGAGGAGACGUGAGGUGUCUGCGCUGCAGGAGGAAUAGGCCACAAUUAUAAAUUAUAAAUAAAUC